GAAUUGAAAACCUGAUGUAGGCCUAAGAUUGGUAAGGUGUGACUUUUAUUUUGAAGGAUUAGCGAAUGGCAGCCAUAUUGGAAUUUGUGUUACUGUAGCUAGUUUCACGCUGCUGCUGUUCCAGUCGGACACAAACUGAAGUUGAAACGAUAGGCUAACGAUACGAAAGUGAUAUACGUGUUGUAGCGAAUUUGUUACAGUCUGUGGUUGUAGCCACUCUGUGGUGGCUGUAAUGGAGUCUGACAUGCUAAAAUCUGCAGAAUAUGCAUCUAUGCGCCCCGAAACUGACAUCGACAAACAACUGGGUAGAACUCUUAUAGCUGUCGGGUUGGGUGUUGCAGCCGUGAGCUUUGCAGGUCGUUAUGCAUUCCAGUUGUGGAAGCCUCUAGGACAAGUCAUCUCAGAAACGGCCAAAAAAAUUCCCACUUCUUCAUUCUCUACAUACUACAAAGGAGGGUUUGAGCAGAAGAUGACUAAGCGUGAAGCCAGCCUCAUCCUUGGUAUUAGUCCAACUUCCACAAAAGCAAAGUUGCGAGAAUCUCACAGGAGGAUCAUGGUCCUGAAUCACCCAGACAAAGGUUGAAAGUAGAUGCAAUUUGAAAGAAAAGUCCAGAUUAAACAGCAGAUCAUUUGAGUAUCGAUGAUUCCUAAAUGUGCAAAUAUUUAAACGUUAUGCUUCCUCUGUGUGUUAAGUCCCAUAUGUGGUAAAGUCAGAGUACUUAAGCCAAUUUCUACACUGUUGUGGUGUAAAUAAGCUACAGUAAGCAGCUUAAUGGCAAUAUAUUUAGUUCUCCACAGCUACGUUCUACCCUUACUCCAUGCACUGAAGACAUACAUGUAGCAUGGUAUUUUUACAGAAGGGCUUUUAAAGCCCAGUGUCAUUGUACACUUUGGAGAAUAGAAAUCCCCCCACUGAAGUUUUUCAACCAGCUUCUGUCUUAAACUGUCCUUGAAAAGACACAUUCAAAAGCGUCCCAGUGGGAUGCCAUUUAGAAAUGAUAGCAUUGACAAUAGAGCUGAAAAGGGGGAGGGGUUUGUUCAAAUAACUGUUGGCUUAAUCAGCAGGUCUUGUAUAUUGCCCCUUAACUGCUGGAAGGCUAUGGCUGGCUAGAGUGUUGGCCCGUUUUAUCUUGUCAAGGUUAAUAAUCUCCCCCUCCCCCGCUCACUGAGCUGAGAGAUGUCUAUAGCAUGUGCUAGCCGUAGCCAUUACUCCAUAUCACCGUCUGAAUUUCGCUCACUGAAAUGAGAAACUGUUUCAAAGAUAAGAGCUUGAGGGAAGAGGGAAGCUUCCUGCAGUGGAGUGGGGGGUUGGGCCUUGGUGGUUGGGGACCAAAUAAAUGUCUUCACCUCCUCCCAGCACUGAGCUAACGGAGAGGCCAAAUGUAGCCUUCAUAUCACACACAAACCUCUUUUGUACCAUUUACAGCAGUGUUAAUGUAAUCUUCAUAUCAUGUCACACACACCUCUUUUGUACCAUUUACAGCAGUGUUAAUGUAAUCUUCAGAUCAUGUCACACACACCUCUUUUGUACCAUUUACAGCAGUGGUAAAGCUCCCUUCUUUUUACUUCAACUUCAUCGUUAUUUCCUGUGCAGUGUGUAGGGAGGUAGAUGGAUGUUGGGAUUCUGAUAAGACAGAGGACCAAUUGUUGGAAGGGUGCAGGUUUGGGUUGUACACCAUUGGCUUUUGGAAAUAUGGGUCCAUAGACAUUUACCUCUCCAAGAAAUUGCAAUGAAUAGGCAUGGGAUUUAUAAUCUGAAAGGAUUUCCUCUUUAAUAAAGCUAAUUUUAAUACUGGUAAAAAGUGUCAUUGAAAUGGUUUGGGAGUUUUUGCUGCCAAUAUGAAACUGAAUGAAUAAUGAACAAGUCCUCAAUAAAGUAAACUCUGUAUUGGCUUAACAUUACAGCACUGCAUCCAUGUUUAAGAGUGUUCUAGGGACAUAUGAUGGGCAUAGAUGCCUUCUCUGCCUUUUCUCUUUUCUACAGCACCUGCUUGCUCUGACACAGCUAAUGUAUAACCCACUAUGCCCCUGACCUGAGCAAAGCUGUGGAAGAGGUUUGGCCAGUUUGGUUGUGCCUGACAGAAACCCAUGCGUGGAUCUCCCUAUUUGGCAGCAAAAGUCAAUGAAGCAAAAGACCUCCUUGAGUCAGGCCUACGUGGUUGACUCGUUUUUGUGCUGUCUUAAGGUUGAACUGAAUUCGAGGACCUUAUUCUUAUUUCUAAUCCCUAUUUCCAACAACUCUUUGCACCAGUUCUCAGUAGCACCAAUGACUGAGUGAAUACAGCUUGUAUUAAGGAUGGGGUGAUAAGUACUGUUGAUGUUGAAGGGGCCAAUGUGUUAAAAACGUUUUCAUUGUGUAUCAAACUGUCUGCUUUGUUGUAUUGUACUGAGCGUAAAGGGUGAGUUCACAGGCUCAUUAAACCCAUUACAUGCUGCCUCAGAGGUUGCUAUUGAAUGAUGUAAUGUUGAAAUGGCAGAAAAGUGUUGUGCACAUCAUAUGAACUCUACUGUCCAGGCAUAUCUGUAACAUUGGCUAUAUACAGUCAUUGAUGUGUACACGCAUGCACACCUAUUUAUUUGCAUGAGGUAGAUUUGAUUUGUAUUAGAUUAAUAAAAUGUUUUAGAUGGUCUUUAA